rnacentral:rRNA from 1 species
AUGACGCUCAUGCUAGUCUCCUCAUAUGUUGAUCACAUAGCCUCCAAUGAUGCUGAUGAUGUCAUGUUGUCUUCGAAGAAUUCAGUGGCUUCUUCGUCCCCAACAUCUUCGUGGUCUCUCUUGACCACUGCCGCCAGUAGCUCCUCGGUGGACAAAGCUCCGCUAGAACCGGCGGCCGAGGCGUCGAGCUCCGAUCCGUGGGAGAGCGACGACUGCACGUUCGAGUACAUCGACUCGGAGCUCUCCCGGGACUCUGCUUCUGCGCCGAUCGUCGGGCUCUCCUUGACGCUCGUGGUAGUCUCCUCAUAUGUUGAUGCCAUGGCCUCUGAUGAUGCUGAUGAUGUCAUGUUGUGUCUUCAAAGACUUCAAUGGCUUCCUCUUGACGGGGCGUUCGCCAAGAAGAAGAAGAAGAGGGGUGCCCAACCCCAACCGGGUGGUCCGGCCUCUUCGGUCACUAACCCGACGGUGGUGGUGGCGCCCCCCUCGACCGCGGCCGCGGUCACCUGCUUCAACUGUGGGGUGGCCGGGCAUUGUCAGGUGGACUGCCCCAAGCCUCCGGCUUGCUACCUCUCCAAGAAGACGGUUCACCCCGCCGCCCUCUGCCCGGUGCACCAGCCUCGUGGGACCCUUGGGUUGUUUGGCUAUGCGUUGGAUGACCUGGGCUUCUUCCAGAUGGACCUCCCUGAGGCCCGGGCCACCCCGCCCAUGACCGCUCUCAUCUCGGUCUUGGAUGGCCGGACGGCUUCACUGGCCAUCAUCUAUGAGGAGCUUUGCCACCUGUUUAACCCGGAUUGGGAUUGGGAGGUGACCCCGAUCUCGGACCGGGAGUUCACCACGAUCUCCCCCGACCCGGUCAGCCUCCGCUACGGCACCCACCGCGCCAGACUCACGCUCGCCCUCAACCAGCUCUCAGUCCGCAUCUCGGUCCCGUCGGUGGACCCGCUUGCGGUGGCCACCUUGUCCACGGUGUGGGUGCAGAUCCGUGGGCUUCCCCCACCUGCUAGGGACGAGGGGGUCCUCCGUGGCUUGUCCCGUCUGUUGGGCACGUAUGUGGCUGUCGACAGCGCCUCUCUGCCCAAGGGCCCUGCUGUUCGGAUUCUGAUCAAGUCCCCCGACCCCUCCAAGCUCAAGACGACGAUCCGGAUGUUCUUCAACGACGUUGGUUAUGACCUGCGCAUCUUGGUUGAGGGUGGGACUCCCACUGAUCCCCUCAGCCCGGAUGAUGGGGGUGGCGCCAACCCCGAGCCAGGGCCGGACAGGGGGGCUGACACUCAGGGUUCCCCCCGUCGCCCUCGCAACCGCUCACCCCACUCUGAGGCCUCCGACGAUGACUCGACAGACCCUGGGGACGAUCUUCCUCCAGUCGGCUCCUUCCACCCCUCGUCUACUCACUGCUCGGGGUUGGGCUCCCGCGAUGCCUGCCCCGGGGACGAGUCUGAGGACAUUGAGACUAUUGCUGCCAUGCUCGACGAGGCCGCCACCCUCCCACCUGGCGCCACCCUCCCCCCUCCCUUCCUCCCUGUGUUACCGUCCUUGUCUAAGGAUGAGGGGAGCGGUGUCAGCCGGGGUAGCAUGGAGGUCCGCCCCCGUCCUCCCCACGGCUUGUGUCUCCAGCCUCCAAAGUCCCGGGGCCGCCACCGCUCGGCCUCUACUCCGGUCUCGUCUGCCCAAAACAGUGCCCGGCUCGGGGCGGCUCCGCGGCUGACCGGGGCCUCGCCGGCCGCGGUGGAGAAGGCCUCCCGACGCGCCGCCAUCCGCAACCUCGACACAGGUCCGUCUGACUCCCAGGCCCCUUGUCCUGAUUCUGAUGAUAUUUGCGACUCUUCCUUUUCUGCUCUUGCUGGUGUUCCACUUGGUCAUCUGGCCAAGGUCGCGGCCGACUCAGCUAUAGUCUUCCGUGGCAAGAAGGGCCCGGUCUUAGAGCAGCUUGCGUCCCUCCAGGCCAAGGAGAUUCUGGAGGGCCAUCUCGCAUCCACUCGGGCUCGCGAGGCGGCAGCAGCUGCGGAGGCCCCCACCCCUACGCCCCGCCGGGCUGGGGGUCGGGGUCACCUUGAGGACAACCCGGGUGUGAAGGAUGCCACCAUUGAGGUGGGCUCCAUGGACCGUGGAUCCCACUUUGUUAGCAUGGAGGUCUGGGAACGCGAUAUGAAUUUCAAGUGGGAGAUCAUCAUGGUGCAGUUCAUGAAGGGAUGGGAAGCUAAUAUUGGGAGGGAUCUUCGGAUCCAGAAGGCCUCCCUCCUAGAGGAGAUCCAGGCCCUUGAUCUCCGUGCAGAUAUUGCUGGGAUCUCCGCGGAGGAAUGGGCUCAUAGAUACAAUUUGGAGGACUCUCUCAUGGAGAUCUACUCCAAGGAGGAAGAAUUUUGGCGCCAACGUGGCUCUAUGAAUUGGGUGCUGUUUGGGGACGCCGGCACUGCUUACUUCCAGGCCAUCGCUAAUGGUCGUAGGCGACGCUGCUCCAUUCCCCUUUUAUGGGAAGGAGGUCAGCUGUUUCAGGAACCUCAGGCUAUCCGCUUGCUGGUCGACGACUUUUACAAGUCGUUAUUUCAGGGGUGCCCUCGGAGUGGGAUCGCCCUUGCAGACCACAUUUGGUCGCCCGACCAACAGAUCUCCCCGAAGGAAAACUCGGCCCUGCUCGCCCCUUUUGAUGCCGCGGAAGUGGAGGCCUUUGUCAACGCCAUGAACCCGGCCUCGGCCCAAGGCCCCGAUGUAUUCUUGGUCCGUUUUUUUCAGGCCUUCUGGCCGAUGGUCAAGGAGAUCAUCCUUGAUCUAUUCCGUGAGUUCUCUAGGGGAACAUUAGACAUGUCCCGGCUUAACUACGGGAUCAUUUCUCUGAUUCCCAAGGUGCCGGGUGCUGCGGACAUUAGGCAGUUCUGCCCCAUCACAGUCCUCAAUGUGAUAUUUCGGAUUUUGGCGAAGGGGUACGCCACUAGGGCGGCCCUAAUCGCCCCCCGGAUCCAUCACCCGAACCAGUUGCCCUUCACGAAAGGCAGGUAUAUUCUGGAUGGGAUCCUCGUUCUUCACGAGGUCAUCCAUGAGGUCAAGAGCAAACAUCUCCGCGCUGUGUUCUUCAAGAUCGACUUCCACAAAGCUUAUGACACCGUUCAUUGGUCCUUCCUUCGGGAGAACCUCAAGUUCCUCCUCCUCUGCUUUCAGAAAAUGUCUGGCCUCACAAUUAACUUCGCGAAAAGUGAGGUGAUGGUCCUGGGAUAUUCUCAGACGGAAGCUCAGCGAAUUGCCAACCGCUUGAACUGCCGCUUGGGGUCCUUCCCGGCUACUUACCUUGGCAUGCCACUUAGUGACACGCGUCUACUGGAGAAGGACUUCUGUCCAAUAAUCGCCAAGCUCCAACCUAGGAUGGAGCCUUGGCAGGGGAGAUGGCUUUCCAAAGCUGCUCGAGUUUAUUAG